GAGGUUUUAGCUUAAUUAAAGUGUCUAAUUUGCAGUUAGUUGAUGUAAGUUAAAGUUUUACAAGCCUUC
rnacentral:tRNA from 1 species